ACCAACAUUUUUCAAAAUAACGUCUACUGCAGAGGAAAGAAAGCUAUACUUUAAGUUUUUACAUGAGAAUUUUCGUUUUUGAGUGAACUAUCAAUUUAAAUUAUACCAUUAAGCAAGAGUGAUUAUGUUUGACCUUGAGUUGCAAUAUUUGUUUCUAUGUAGACACCCUUUAUCUGGGUUUCGAGCAGCUUGUUGUCUUGUUAAACGUGAUGUCUUUUUGAGUUUAUAGGUUCAGGCGUUUGGCUGAUGCGGGUGAUAAAACGGCAUCAGAAGGCCUGUACAGUGAGUCUGACUAUGCCGUGCUCUGCCAGAAAGCUCAGUUGAUCAUCGGCAAUUUUCUGCAGUACGACACGUCACCAAAGCUCAGGAUCAACAUCACUGAAGCUCAAAGACACGGCAUACUAGUGCGGUUUGACUCGGAGAAGGUUGAUCGCACGCUGUUCUAUCCAGCUAUGAUGGACAUCUUCCCUGUUAUCAUCUACUGCUGGAAAAGGUUUCACUUUCUAAAAACCAUCAUGAACAUAUGUGGAGUUAAAACGCUGAAGGAUCUGCGUAAAAAGCCUAUUCCCGAGGAGUGUCCUGCAAUCAUCCAGUCCCAGAACAUCAAGACUGUGAUAGCAGAUGAAGGAAGGCAGAUUUUACAAUGGAAAAGACUAUAUUCAAUUAAACAAAAAUAGUUCUAAUCAAAAACCUUUUAUUUGAUCUCUUCACUGAUGUGUUUUUACUAGUCAAAGGGCCGACGCUUCGCUUCUCUCUCCAGCAAGGCCAUACGCUGCUGCGCCCACAAACCAGGCGCCUUGUCAACAAGCCUUCAGCUCAUGAAAAGUGAGCUGAAAGUUUCUCUUUCUCACCA